GGAGGGAGCUGAACUGAUUGAUUCAGUUCUCGACGUUGUUAGAAAGGAAGCUGAGAACUGUGACUGCUUACAAGGUGAGAGAUAAACUGAUUGUCCCUUUCCUCCAUGUUUCUUUCUCGAUCAAGCUUGUCUGGUUUUGAUGCUUGUGUUAUUCAAACGUUUGAUCGAACUAUGUUUUUUUUUUCGGGACAAAUGAUCGAACUAUGUUCGUGAUCGUGAUGAGAAACAUACUCUUAUAAAUUACACAUUAUGAUCACCAAAAUUUAAUAUUUUUAUUAAAAUUUAAGUGUUACAGUCUUCUAAAUCUUUGAAGAGAGAGCGUUGGAUAGCCGAUCCUGAGAUUUAGACAACUAUAACAUUUAAAUUGUAAUAAAAAUAUUAUAUGAUCACCAAAAUAUAAUUUUUUAUUAAGAAAAUUUAAAUGUUAUAGUCGACUAAAUCUUUGAAGAGAGAAAUGGAUAGCCGAUCCUGAGAUUUAAGACUAUAACAUUUAAAUUGUAAUAGAUCACCAUAUUUAAAUGUUAUAGUCCCGACUAAAUUUCACCGAAAAGAGUAAUAGCAUAGCCGACGAGAUUUAAAUUAACUGACUUAAAUUCUGAUAAAAAUAUAAUAUUUUGGUGAUCAUAUUAUAUUUUAGUUUGUAAAAGUUUACCCAAACGAAUGUUGAGUAUUUUCCUAUUGAUUUCGUGAAUUUGAAAACAUUGUAUUUUCAUAGUUACAUGAUUUCUAAAGGUAGUACUGAUUUUCUUGAACAGGGUUCCAAGUUUGCCACUCAUUGGGUGGAGGAACUGGUUCUGGCAUGGGAACGCUUCUCAUCUCCAAGAUCAGAGAAGAGUAUCCAGAUCGUAUGAUGCUCACGUUUUCGGUUUUCCCAUCUCCUAAAGUCUCUGACACAGUCGUGGAGCCAUACAACGCUACUCUCUCUGUUCACCAACUUGUCGAGAACGCCGAUGAAUGCAUGGUUUUGGACAAUGAAGCUCUCUACGACAUCUGCUUCCGCACCCUGAAACUUGCCACUCCAACUUGUAAGUCAUAUCUUCCAUCAAAUGACCUCUAGCAUGCGUCUAAUAUAUUAAAAUGUUAAUUAAUGUUUUUUUUUUGAAACUAAAAAUGUUAAUUAAUGUUAAAGAUGGAAUAUGACGUUACUGACUAUAUAAUAUGACGUUACACAUUCAUUAGUGGUAUUAGUUGGGUUGCUCUCCUGUUCUUGUCUCUUGUAAGAUAAAAAGUAGUCUUAAAUGUUCUCAUGUCUUAUCAUUAAACAAACAUUAACAUAUACUUUGGUUUCUUAACCAUCAAGCUUUAAUUUCUUACAUGUGACACUACACUUGUGUUCUGUUUUGGACAUUUGCAGUUGGAGAUCUAAACCACCUGAUCUCUGCAACCAUGAGCGGCGUAACAUGCUGUCUCCGUUUCCCUGGCCAGCUCAACUCCGACCUCCGCAAGCUCGCGGUCAACCUAAUCCCCUUCCCUCGUCUCCACUUCUUCAUGGUCGGUUUCGCACCUCUCACAUCCCGCGGCUCCCAGCAAUACCGCGCCUUAUCAGUCCCGAGCUCACCCAACAAAUGUGGGACGCCAAGAACAUGAUGUGCGCCGCAGACCCAAGACACGGACGCUACUUAACCGCGUCAGCGAUGUUCCGCGGCAAAAUGAGCACUAAAGAAGUGGACGAGCAGAUGAUCAACGUCCAGAACAAGAACUCUUCUUACUUUGUCGAAUGGAUCCCAAACAAUGUCAAGUCCAGCGUCUGCGACAUUCCUCCCAAGGGUCUCUCGAUGGCGUCGACUUUUGUUGGUAACUCGACUUCGAUCCAGGAGAUGUUUAGGAGGGUGAGCGAGCAGUUCACGGCGAUGUUUAGGAGGAAGGCUUUCUUGCAUUGGUAUACAGGAGAAGGGAUGGAUGAGAUGGAGUUUACUGAAGCGGAGAGCAACAUGAAUGACCUUGUGAUAGAGGGCGGAAGCUACGUUGCGUAAGGGAACGGGGGUUGAUCGAUGAACAACAGGUUCAGACGAUCGAAAGAGAUGAAGAGUACUCCUCUUCUAGCUAUCAAAGCUCUAAAACUCAAUAUUCUUAUUAUCAAAAGCGUGUCUUACAACGAAGUCGUAAUCAACUUAUAAAUAAAGCCAAAUAAUAACUGAAAACUAACUAGAUGUUUAUCUCUAAUAAAACAUGCUUAUCUCAAAUAAAACCAACACCAAAACCGUAAAGGAUAACUAAACCCAAGAGUGGCUUAAGGCCCAAGAAACAAGAGAUGCGCUGCAUCACCUUGUGGCUGAGUAUCAGCAGUAUCAGGAUGCUACAGCGGAUGAGGAGGAGUAUGAAGAGGAAGAGGAAGAGCUCGAGGCUUGAGAUCUUUAGAUCGUUAAGUUUGUUUUCGUAUUUCGCUAUUGAUCUUUAUUGUUUUGGGUGUAAAUUGUAAUGAAAACUAAUUUGUGGGUGAAUCUGUAAAACAGAAGAUGAGGUUUUGCCGUUUUGGUCCUGAUCUUUCUUGUUUCGGUUUAUAUAUAUUGUUAAGGUUUGGUUUUAAGCUCUGUUUUACCCAACACUUCUGAGUUCUCACCAUGGAAGCAUUCAACCGUGGGUUCAACAAGACGCCGAGAAACAUCAAUGGUCGAGUUAAAUCUACAUUUUCCCGUGUCUUUGAUUGAUCCAUAUAUUUUGAUGGAUUAAGUUAUGCUUUGUUAGAAUGAAUUAAGUUAUUAUCAACUAGUAAAAACCACAUUACAUUAGGACUAAUGAAUUUAGUUUUCUAGUUACUAGAUGAAUUAUAGAUCAUGUUUUAAGCAAAUAUAGUAUGCGUUAUUUACACAAUUCAAAAGUAGUUUUCUCUCCUCAACCAUUCGGUGUGGCUAAAUCUAAAUAUCAAUUCAAUAUUCUUUGAGAGACUUUAUUUCGAAGCAAUGAAUAAAAGAAGGGUCUUAAAUAAACUUACAGAAAAUAAAUCCAAAAAUGUACAAAAUUAUAAACUAAAAGGACUACAUGAACAAAUAGAAUAAGAUUGAGAAGUUAUAAAGCUCUGGCCGACAGACACAAAUAUUUCUCUUCCCAGCCUCCCCUCCGUCUCUUCCCACUCUCAGCCUAGCAGGUGAAGUUCCCUUAGCUUUUGAGUUUCGUGUAUCUACGUUGGUUUGUUGUCGGAAAAGCUAUAAUCAAUUGGAGAUUUUAGGUUUAGUAAAGGUGAAACCUUUUAUAGUCUGACGGAUUCUUAUCUAGGGUUGUUUUAGGAAUUUGAAAAUUUUCACGGUGAAACCUCUCUGUAGACUGUGUCUGAAUGUUUCUCGUUCCAUAGUUGAUGUGGGAAGUUAAGAAAGUUUUGAUCUUUUUUAGUUCUCUGUUUACUGCAUCAUCGUGUAGAAAGUUAAUAGAGAAAGGUAUGUCCUUUUGAUAUUGAGUAGGUACUGUAAAAAGAUAAUAUUGGCCAAGUAGCAGCGCAGAGGAUGGGAGCAGCAGAGACUCUAACUGAUCCCUCAAGCCUAUGUGAGUCUAACUAUAUGGGCAACGGUGAUUUGUCUGACACGGAUAUGGUGAUUACCGUGAGAAACACCCUUGCUUCUGUCCAAAACGUGAGUGUGUAUGCUUCUUUCUUGUGCUUAUGUGUUUUUACAUAUGUUGAUGCUAUUUUGUGUUUUAUGCUUUUAGGGGGAAUGUUACCGUUACGAUGAGCUUGUUAAAACUAUGCAAGCUACCAAAAACUCUGAUCUUGAAGCACAGCUUGUGGUGGUGUUCCUUUUUCUUUCAACGAGAGUAUUUUCUUCGUCUUCCCUUUUUUCCUUAAGUGUUUUUUUUUUUUUGGUUUGGCAGACAGCAUUGAAAGCAUUGUCAAGCUCUGUGGCUUACUUAGAUAUCAUUCACCAUGAAAAGCUUCUUUCUUUGGUAAGUUUAUAAGCUUACAGUUGCUUUCUAAUUAAAUUUAGUUUAAGAUAAUUGUAUUAUUAUGUUACAGGUUUUUAGAAUGUCAUUGUGGGAUCUCAAACCUCAUGUCAUGGAUGCUUUGGUGGGUCUACUCAUAUCACUGGUACACAACUCAACACUUACCACCCUCACGCUGGACUUUUUUAUUUAACAUGUAUGAGGAGGUAGCCAAGUUUUUGUUUUGUCAUCACAGGCUGUCACUACAGGAAAGUAUCUGGACCCUUGUCUGAAUAUGCUCGUACGCCACUUUUUGCCACCGGAUUGGGUGAUUAGAAGACUUUCGCAGCACCGUGUAGUGAAACAGAAGAUGGAAGUUCUUUCUCAUGUUCAUGAAGCCCUUCUGAAAAUCUGUAUUUUGUUUCCUCGUGCUCCCUCGAGAAUAUUAGACAUGCUACCCAAAAUAAACAAAAAGGGCCAAGUGAGUUUUUAUUUUUAUUUGAUUUAGUGGCUAGCUUUUGCUGAAGAAAACAAACAAUGCUACCGUCAUGCAGGUGGUAGAGAUAUUUGUGGAGAACUUAUUAAAGCUGGAGAAUAGUCUAAUGGGACAAGAUGAUGGCAGCAAGAUUUUUAUGAUGGUGAUGGAGAGGCUACGAGAUAUGGAUGUAAGUUACAUAAUAUGUUUUAUUACACAUAAAGCCAUUUAAAUUAAUGAUGUGCUGGUGUGUUCAUUUAGUUGGAGAUUGAUUGGGAUGGUAUUCCACAAGAUGACUCAAGUAGAGGUUUGUUUGAUAUGGAACUUGAAGAUGCAGUUGAAGAUAAUACUAUGAAAGAAGGAGACGAGGUAGGCUCAGUGUUUGUUUUGACUAUAAAGCUAGCCUCUGAAUCUGAUAUAAUAUCUAUUGCAGUUUCAAGUGGGAUCUCUAACAUCGGAUGGAAAUGUAAUUUUUGAGUCUUUGGAUAAAUUGAUGGUCUUAUCUUUUGAUCAUCUUGAAUCCUGUAAACUUGCUGGUCGUUUGGAUCAGGUAUGUCACCAAAUAAUAACUUCCUUUUUUUUUUUUUUUUGAAUGAAUGUUAAAUUUAUUCAAAAAAGCCUUUAUACAACAAGUGCAUGCUGUAUACUAGAAUUAAUCACUAGCUACCUUUUCAAAUAUGAACUGAAGCCUAUUUACAUUCUAGUAUAAAACCAGUAUUGCAUUAAUCUCUCCAUACCCUUAGCCCCACUUCUACUCAUCAACGUGAUCUUGUUGCGUAUCCCUUUAUCAACCAUCCUUUUAAUAACUGACAACUGCAUCUUCUUCUCCCCAUGAAUUACCUUAUUACGCUCUCUCCAAAUUGCAUAGAGCACAAUCUAAAACGCAUAACGAAGGCAAAACCGGCUCAUCUUCUCCCUUUUCUCAUCUGAAAUGAUCGCAAUGAUUCCAGACCAAUCUGUAGUAUAGGAACUACACAAUAUCCCUUUUGUAACAUACUCCCAUACCUGAGACGAGUAUUCACACUGGAAGAACAGAUGGCUUCUCGAUUCAGAGGCAUUUUUACAUAAUACACAUACUGUAUCAAGUCCCCUACUCCAUAUAGCCAUCUUAUCUAACGUUGGCAUUCUAUCUCUGAUAGACACCCACGCCAUAAAAGCAAAUUUAGGAGUAGCAUGAGGAAACCAGAUAGCACGUGCCCAUGAGACUGGAUUCUUACUCUCUCUCAGCAAAUACCAAGUUUCCAUCGUAGAGAAUUUCUGUUUAAAACCAGUUUUACCUCUCCACAGAUUACUAUCCUCCUUCUCAGGCACAAGAUUACUUGCAAUGAUGUGCAGUUCCGCUUCUAUAACAUUUAACACACCUGUGCGAUGUCUUCUUCUCCUUCGAACAGCUAAUACUGCUUCCGCCAGUGUCGCAUCCCUUCUCACACCCAUCUCAAUCACACCUCGCGGACCCAAAACAUCAAACAAAGCUCCUUUAUCUGACCAACUAUCGAACCAAAAGGAAAUAUGUCUUCCAUUACCCACCUCUCUCCUAUAAAACCUCUUAGCCACUUCCCUCAAUUUCAACGUUUUCCUCCAUAUCCAAGAACCUACCUGAGUUGUAGACUUCACCUCCCAAAAAUUUUUCCCUUUAAGUAAGUUUGCUUUGAUCCAUUUACCCCAUAAUGAAUCUCCAGUUAACAGUCUCCAGAUCAGCUUCAGCCCAUUCACUCUAUUUACUUCUCUUAAGUUCCUUAUACCCAAUCCACCUUCAUUCUUAGUGCAACAAACAUCACUCCAUGCUACUUUAGCACUCUUUGUUUUAAGGCUUGGUCCAGUCCAAAGAAAAGCAGCACAGAUUUGCUCCACUUCCUUCACACAAGCACUAGGAAGUCUGAAUACCGCCAACCAAAAGUUUGCAAUACUCAGUAGCACAGAGUUUAUAAGCUGUAAUCUUCCGGCAUAUGACAUAAACCUACACGUCCAUGAGCAUACUUUACUUCUGAUCCUUUCCAACAGCGGAAGCCAAUCUUGCGAUCUCAUACUUUGGGUCAUAAGAGGGAGACCUAAGUAUCGCACUGGUAACUCACCAACCGCAAACGGAAAAUUCGUCAUGAUACUACACUUCUCAACCUCCUCUACACCCGCCAUAUAUAUCGUUGACUUCUCCAGACUAAUCCGUAAUCCUGACCAAACUUCAAACUCUUCAAAAACAGAAAGAGCACCUUCUAUUGACCUCUUUGAACCCUCAACAAAUACCAUUAAAUCGUCAGCGAAGCAAAGGUGCGUUAUAGAGAGACUCUUACAACCCGGAUGGAACUUGAACUUAUUUUCUUCUACUGCUUUGUCAAUCUUCAUAGAUAAAACAUUCAUACAGAGCACAAAAAGAUAUGGUGACAAAGAACAACCUUGACGAAGCCCCCUUGAGCUCUGAAAAUAGCCUGCAAGAUCCCCAUUGACUUGCACUGAAAAAGAAGGGCUUGUAAUACAAAGCUUUAUCCAAUGUAUGUACUUCUCCGGAAAUCCCAAUACACUCAAACUCUUCAGAACAAAAUCCCACUGCACUGAAUCAAAUGCCUUUGAGAUGUCAAUCUUCAUUAAGCACCUAGGAGUAACCGUGUCUUUGUGAUAAUUCUUUACAAGCUCUGAGGCAAGAAGCACGUUUUCCAUGAGAAGCCUACCCUUUACAAACGCAGAUUGAGUCUCAGCAAUGAUUCUUGGCAGCAAAACCUUAAGCCGAUUAGCCAAUAUUUUCGAGACAACCUUGUAAAGAACAUUACAACAUGCUAUCGGACGGUAAUCCUUCAUCUCCAUCGAGUCUAGCUUCUUAGGAACAAGAGCAAGAAUAGUAGAGUUGACUCCUUUUGGUAGAAACCCAAAUCUGAAAACUGACUGCACUGCUAUCACAAAAUCUUGAGAGAUGAUCGACCAAGAGGUUUUAAAGAAUUCGCAGGAAAACCCAUCAGGACCCGGAGAUUUAUAGCUAGGCAUAGCAAAUAGGACCUUUCUAAUCUCUUCUGCAGUAACUUCAGCUUCCAACAGAUUACAAUCAUCCAUAGAGCAUCUGAACUUGAGUAAAUCUUCCAACUCAUCCUCAUUUACUCCCUUAUAAUUCUCCGGAAUCUGAUUAAGAAAAUGAGCAAAGAAAUCCUCUGCCUCCUUCUUAAUUUCUGAAUGCUGAUUCACCACACAUCCAUUCGCACAUCUGAUUUCUCUGAUCAUAUUUUGAGCUUGACGAGAUUUUAUGGCUCUAUGAAAAGUCUUGUUGUUUUUGUCUCCAACGUCAAGCCAGAACAACUUUGCCCUUUGCUUCAAAAAGUCCUCCUCAAGGCUUGCAACAUGUAGCCAUUUACCAUACGUUUCUGCCUCUUCUUUAACCGCCCCUUCACUUGGGUUCACUAAAGUAACAUUCUGCCUCUCACAUAACAAAUCAAAUGCCUCCUUUGCACGCUUUGUUAAAUUUCCCAGCUUCUCUCUACCCAACUCCCUAAUCAACGGUUUUAGACCUUUUAACUUUUUCGAGAAUCUGAACAUAGCAGAUGUUGAAUGAAAAAGUCUCUCAGUAGAAUCCCAAUACGUCUGAACCAUAGGGAGAAAAGAUGGAAUGCUACCAAUUGCGUUUAUAUACUUAAACGGACGCUUGAUCUUCUCACUUGAUGCCAGCAACUGCACCUUACACCUCAUAUGAUCCGAGCAACCUCCAGCUUCAAAUACUGAAUACGCGUUACUGAAUCUUCGCAAUGCCACUUCAUUAAGUAGAACUCUAUCCAGUUUCUUACAGAUUACCCCAUUCUCCCUCUUAUUACACCACGUGUAUUUUGGUCCUUGAUAAGCCAUAUCCGUAAGUUGACAAUGCAGAAUCAAACUCUGAAACUCUCUCAUACCACCAGUAAUCCUACCCAUAUUCUCAAAUCUUGAACUCUCAACCCCAUCCAGUAUUUCAUUGAAGUCACCCAUAAUCAUCCAAGAUUUAUUUCUAAAACUCGGAGAAUCAUGGUGAAAUGCAAGAUCCUCCCAUAAGACCUUCCUCUCCUCCACUUGAUUACUCGCAUAGAUACAAGAUACAUAGAACUCUUCCUCCCCUUCCAUCUCAACCAAACAUGUGAUAAUCUGGUCCGAUUUAUAUACAGGAGACAUACGGACCGAAUCUCUCCAUAAUAACCAAAUUCUACCUCCCUGACUGUCCUCAUAAUUAGUAAUUGAUGACCAAUCCCUGAAUACCUUUUUUAAAAUUUUCUCUGAUUUUCCUUCCUUCACCCUAGUUUCCAGAAUGCAACCAAAUCUCAUCUUCUUAUUCUUCACCCACUCAGAUACGACGAAAUGUUUCAAAUCUUUAUUAAACCCACGAACAUUCCAGAAGAAGCACGCCAUAAUUAGAGUUUUCGUCGAGAAGACCGUUUGCUCUUAGGUUGAGCCUCUUGAGCUUUUGUCUUCUGACCUCUUCUACUCCCUUUUUGCAUAGCUGCCUUAUCUUUUUCUUUUGUAUGUUGACACAAUAUCUCAUCUUCCAACAAUUCCCCUUCUAAAAUAUCCAUGGCUUCAACAUCCAUACUUUCUUCUUCCUCUACCUCCAAUGUUUCUGCAAUUUCUCCUUCCUCUACUUCAUCAACUGAUAAUACAGAAUACUUCGACGCCGAAAUAAGAACUUCCCCAGCAUCUCUCAGCGGAGUUUGAACUCUCCCUACUUUAUCCCCCGAGACAGUUAACCAAUCAUUUCCUUCCUUCCUUACAGUAGCAGAACCAUCAUCCUCCAAAACAGAAUCUGUGCCAGCCUUGAGCUCCAAUCCCAUAACUUGAUCUUCCUUCACUGGACUAGCAUCUAAAAUCUGCACCUCAGCUACUUCCUUUUCUAUCUUCUUUCCUGAUUCAUUCGCAACAACACUCUUUGCUUCCUUUUCCCCUGUCUUAUAAUCUCUUUUCUUCAUACUACAAACCGUCUCAGUAUGUCCCCAUUUCUCACACUGAGCACACCGAGAUGGCAACCAAGGAUAGUAGAAUUCCGCAGUGAACUCUUUACCCCCCAUCAUAAAAUCUAUCUCCUUUGGCAAAUGCUUUGAAACAUCAACCUUUACAAACACUUUCGCCUCUUCAAAAUUUGAACAGGCUAUGGUCUCAGGAUGAAGUCGAACAGGGAAUCCCACUGUGCUUGUCAUAAAGCUAAGAGCCUCCCAUGAGAACGUAUGAAGAGGAAUUUUACGCAGAUGCACCCACAUCGGUAUAGCUUCCUCCUCAGGCGUCUCUUCCUCUGCCUUCGGCGUCCAUUUCUUCACCACCAUUGGAACCCCUGCAAUAUUCCACAUCCCUCUUCUGAUUACUUUCUCCCUAGCCUUCAUACUUGUAAUCUUGAAUCGCAUAGUCUUAGCAUCCACAUCAUAAACCUCCACUUUUGAACUUGAAUCCCCGUAACUCCAGAUCUUAUUCACCACCAUAUGAACCUUGGCUAUAUGAGGCGCGAGAUCUAGAAACUUCCCUACAACAAAUUCCUCCCACAAUGGUGUUGUUUCCGAAAGAAUAUCCUCAGGAAACUCCACCUUAUUCUUCCCAUCCUUCAAAACGAUAUCAACCUCAUAUUUCCUCAAAACCCGUUUAUCCUUCACUUUUGAUGCCCAGCUUGGAAUCCCUUUCUGCAAAACGUCAACCUCCGAAUCCCGAACUACCCCUGUAGCUUCCCCUACCACUUUAACCUCCCGAUCUAUCUCCAGUGGAUCAGAUGAGCUCGGCGAAGCCGCCGAAAUCAUCGCGAAUACCAGUCUCGAAAGUCGCACUCAAAAUCGCCCCAAAAUCGCUUUUAGCAAAACGGUGCGUUUUAAUGAGGAUGAUUAUUAUCCAUAUUAACAACAUUAGAUCAUAGUUUGUUACACUAAUAAUAAUAAUAACUUCCUUGCCUUUACGUGCUCAUGAAUUUAUCAUUGCUGAUCUGUUUUAAAUGCUUUUUGGCUAGGUGUUUGAAAAGCUCUUCGAGGCAUUUGAGCACUACAUUAUGGAUAUACACAAAACAAAAGUUUCGCAGGUAGGCUACACAGCUAUAUCACGGUCCUCACAUGCAGAUGACUCAUGUUUUAGACUCACUUUUUGCAAUUCGUCUGCAGUUUCUGAUGUUCUAUGCAUGUUCACUGGAUCCUGAAAACUGUGGUGUGAAAUUUGCGAUUAAGCUGAUGGACAUUUUCCUCUUCAGCAACAAGCUACCUACAAGGCAAGUUUCACCUUCUCAUUCUAAGGUCAAAAAUUAUCUCAUUCUGACAAACUUGGUCUGUGGUUUUGUUUCUUCCUUUUUUUUAAAUAACAGGAUGAGUGCUAUGGCUUAUCUAGCUAGCUACUUGGCUCGUGGGAAGUUUUUACAUGUUUCCUAUGUGGCUAGCAUAUUAAAAAGGUUUGAAACGAUUCCUAAUACCUCAAAUAUAAAUGUAUGAUCUAACUGAAAACUUAAGUCUGUUGCAACAUUGAUUUAAUUGUGUCUAUUGUCUAAAAUUUUUAGGUUGGUAGAUGAGUGUGCGGAUCACUGUAGAACUUGCAGUGAUGAUAUUAACUCUAAGGCACAUCAGAUUUUCUACUCCGGAUGCCAGGUAUAUACUGCUUUCAAUCCCAAGCUCUACCAGUCACAAAAUUACACAUUGAUCAUUUGCUUAGAUCAUGUUCUGUAAACACAGGCGAUCAUGUAUGUGCUCUGCUUCCGGAUGAGAUCCAUCCUAGCUGUUCCUCGCUUUCGGUCUGAGCUUAUACCAUUGGAGUCAAUUUUAAUGCACAAACUAAACCCGUUAAAGGUGAGUUUUAUAUAUACUCUGAUCCCAUUUGUUUUUUUUUUCACCUAAACUUAACUGUUAAGUAUCAAACGCAUGAUAAUAAGCUUUGCAACCGAUUUUGUUUUUGAGAAUAGGAAUGCCUUCCAUGGGUAGUUGCAGAGUUCCUUAAACAAGCUAAAGCAGGUGGUCUGUUUGUCGUCUCAGACUCCUUCAUUUUCGAUAAGCUACUUGAGUCUGAGCUCUCCCGUGGGUCUAAGAGGCUUGAUGCAUUCUUCCCCUUUGACCCUUGCUUGCUGAAAAGCUCUAACAGGUUUUGAAAACUUUCUCUGAUUCUUUUGCUCGUUCUCCCAAUGAAUCAUGUGUCUUAAAUGGUGGUCUUGGAUGAUAUUGAAGCUUUAUCUCCGGGAAUUUCAUCUACUGGUCGAUGGUGAGACCGACCUAUGACGAAGAUGAUGAGGAAGAUGUUGAGAUCAUUGUGAAUGUGGAUGAGGAGAGUGAUGAAGAGGAAGAGGGUGAUGUUGAUCAUGUCAUGGACAAGAUGUCCAUAACGCCUAAGCAUUAUUUCAUGAACGAGAUGGAAAGAGAGAAACUUCUGAAAAUGCCUUCCGUAAUCAGACCUUCCAUUAGUCCUCAAUCCUUAUGAGUUUGUUGGAUAGGGUCUCUAUAUGCAAUUUUGUAGCAAUAUUUAUCAGUUAUUCCAAUAGACUUAAGAAUUUAUAAUAUAUGGAAACAAUUGUAUUCUAAGAUUACAGUUCAAUAUAUUUGCAUUUGGUUAGAAGAUGUUUUUGAAUCAGGAAAUGUGUAAUCCAAUAGUAUUCUAAGAUGAAAAAGACUCGGUGAUAGUUUUCAGUUUAUGACAAGGACCAUAACAAAAUAUUCUGCAACAAGAUAUCAAGAAUGUACAUAUGAUUUAAGAAAUAAAAGAUGAGAAAUAAUAUCAUGAGCGUUACAAUAUCAUUCCAGCCUUUAACUAAAUUUACAAUUAUGAUUAGAAUUGCAAAUUUAUCAGGAGAAACACCAAAUAUCUAAGAUGUUACUACCUGUUAGCCAUGAUGCUACUAUAUACUAGUUGUUUAUUUUACGGUUAUUCGAGGACGAAUCUUCUCUAACCCGGAGAGAAUGAUGCAGAUAAGUAUUUGAAAUAUUUUCAAAUAUCUUAUUGUUUAUUUUAUUAGUUAUAUUAAUUUUAGAUAAUUAUCUUUAUUGUUUUAGCAUUUUACGGUUUUAUUAUAUAUAGCCGUCUAGGCUUAAGUUUGUAUUGAGUUGAUGAUUGAUUAUUAAUAAAAGUUAAGAGAUUUCUCUUUUGUUCCUUGUUUUCGGUAGAUCAUAGAUGAUCUCAACGAAUUUAAGAAGACAUUGAUCUUAGGUAUUCUUAGACUAAAUAAGAUCUUUGUGAUUAUUCUAGUUUUCUGGAUAUUCUAAGAAUCAACAGAUCUCUAAUUCUAUUUUAUAAAGUUUCCGUUACAUCAAAGCGAUAUAUGAACACCACACCUGGUUUAAUGUACCUCAAAUUAGAACAAAACAUAAACCGAACCGUACCGGAAGCUUCCAUGAUUGGAUGACUCACACAAAGCGAAAGGUGUAUUGCUAGAGACUAGGGCAACGGGCAGAGAUGGGGCCGAGUGAAACUAGUGGAGAUGAACAAAAUGAGAAGAUAUUCGGGCAACUAUUCAAGAUCUGCCCGUCAUUACCUACUAGUGGCUGUCUCUUCCGUUCGCCACUUGUCCUAAUGGCAAUUGCCUUGGGUUUAUUUUAUUACACAGCGUUACGUAUCGUCUCCCUCACUCCAUAUGUUUCGUAGUUUCCAGAGUUGACCUAUCCAGUGAGAGUGUCAAAACGGCAUGGUGUCUAUCAAUGGUGUAGAAGAACGCUCUGAAGUGUAAAGGUUAAUCUUUGAAACGGCAGGCUCUCUGUUUGUCAUUUCGUCUCUUUCUUUAAGAGCCAAAAGAAAAAGGAGAGACCUUUAUCGAUUUUGUGAGGGUAAGAUCCAGAGAUUGCAUCAGCUUCAACAUUUAUUAUAAAAUCCAGGUAAUUCUUUUGUUGUUUUCCCACCACGAUUUUUAAAAAAUUCUAGCUUUGGUGUUCUUGUACUGCUUCUUGGAUAAGCUUUUGCUGUGAAACUAGAGGUUAAGAUUGGUACCCUUUUUGGUUUUAGCUUGAUGGGUUGCGAUUAAAUUCUCAAGCUUUUAGCUUCCAAGAGAUUCAUUCGUGUACUGACUUUGUUGUGCUUUGUUGUUAUUGUUGUUGUUACAGUUUGUCUCAUGAGACAUGACUUCUUCAGUGCAUGAGCUCUCAGGUUUUGUUUAUUUCUUCCUAGUUCUCUUAUGCUCUGGUUUUGUUUCUUUUCGUGAUCUGAUUCUUGGUGGGGUAUGUUGAUUUGCCAGAUAACAAUGAAAGUCAUAAGAAGCAAGAACGUCCAGAUUCCCAAACUCCACCACCGGUUCCUUCAGGACCGUGUUCUGAAUCUAUAGAUACAAGCUCCGUCUACUCAGAGCCGAUGGUAAUUUCCCUCAUCCCUAUAAGUACUUGUGCCGGACUAAGUGAUAUUGCUUCUGCUAUGUGAUGUUUGUGUUUAGUCUUUUGUGUGAUACUGCUUCUGUUAUGUGAUGUUUGGUUUAGUCUUUUGUGUCAUUUUGCUUCCUGUUAUGUGCUGUUUGGUUUAGUUUCAAGUGAUUCUCCUGCCUUUGUCAUAUAACACAGUUAACAACAGAAGCAAUAUUUUUGAUACUUGCAAUGUCAAAAAUAAAUAAAAAUUGAGGUAAUAAUACAGACAGGAAUGUUUUGAUUUCUUUCGUCCUGUUGUAAACAUUGACUGCUUUACACUACAGCCCUCAGAUGCAAUUGAAUAGUACUGAAUCUCAAGCAUUGCUAAACUUUUCAACCUUUUCUAGCUGAGAAUUUUGAGAUGCUAAGGUGUUUGUUUUGAAGGCGCAUGGGCUCUACCCGUAUCCAGAUCCUUACUACAGAAGCGUCUUUGCACAUCAAGCGUAUCUUCCACAUCCAUUUCCUGGGGUAUGUAUUAGUACCCCUCAGCAUCGAUGUCUUGCCUUCUGAAGCUUUUGUUUUACACUUUUGUAAGUUUUUAUUUUUUGCAGGUUCAAAUGCAGUUAAUGGGAAUGCAUCAACAAGUGGUUCCAUUACAGUGUGAUGCAGUCGAGGAGCCUGUGUUUGUUAACGCAAAGCAAUACCACGGUAUACUCAGGCGUAGGCAAUCCAGGGCAAAACUUGAGGCUCGGAACAGAGCCAUCAAGUCAAAAAAGGUGAAGUAAAAUCUUUGAUAUGUUUGGUUGGUUGGUUACUUCCCUGAUAUGUGUCCUUAUCUACUUGUGUUUCAGCCAUAUAUGCAUGAGUCUCGGCAUUUGCAUGCGAUAAACCGUCCAAGGGGAUGUGGAGGCCGGUUUCUGAAUGCUAAGAAGAAGAAUGGAGACCGUAAGGAAGAGGAGGAGGAGGCAACCUCUGAUGAGAACACUUCAGAAGCAAGUUCUAGCAUCAGGUCUGAGAAAGCAGCCAUGGGUCCUAAUGUCAGUAGAUCUUGAGUAAAGGCUCCUGCACAACAACAAGUUUAGUUUUGUAUUUUGGGUGGAUGUUUGUAUCAGUGGAAUAUUGUUUUUAUUGUUUUGGACACUCUCUGUAGACUGUGUAUAGGUUUAUUAUUGCUUGGAGCAGAUAGGGUGGUGGUUUUGUUUGAGUGUUUAGAAAUAAAACUGAGCAAGGAAAUGAAUAGUGUGAUUGAAUGUAUUGUCUGUGCCAAAACAAAUAUUCUUUGGCAAUGAAUUGAUGUUUUGGAAAACUUAACCAAUGUUAUUAGCUUUGUUUACUAUGAUUUUUUACUUUGAUUGAGGAUUAAAUUUAGAGUUUGAAUGGUCACUAUGCACUAAUCCGUUGCAGGCACAAAAAGAAAAGGAAACAUGAGCGUUGCAGGUUUAGUUUUUGGUAUAUGCAAUAGUUUAUGGUUCCUAAGGAUUCGAAUUGUGUAGUGGGAGAAGUGCAGUCCAUAUGCACAUUCCUCCCGUAUUAAACUCACUAUUAAGGUUUUUUUUUUCUGUUUUUAAAAUGUAUUUGGUGAGAGAUUUACAUGUAAUUCAAUAUUUUUCCAUUUUUUCAUGUUGUUCUUCUGUUUUUUUUUUCUUGGUCAAUAAAUGAUUAUGUUAUAAAUAAUUAAUUUAAAAAUAUAUUUAUCUGAUUUUACAACUAUAAUAUUUAUAUUAAAUUUUACUUACAACUUAACAAUACAAAAUUAUUAUUGUCUUUUUAGUUCCCUUUUUAUUUUCAUCAUAUAAUUUUUACAUUUACUUAAACUAUUAUAUUUAUUUAAUGUGUGUUUUAAUUAUAAUAUGUAUUAUGUAAAUAUUUAUAAUAUUGUAUUUUAAAUAUGUAUACUAAUAGAAGAGAUAUAUAUUUCGUUAAUUGCUAUUGUUUUUCUUCAUAUUUUGAUUUUAAAAUCAUAAUAAUAUGGUUUAGUGCAAUAUUUAUUAUCAUAUAUAUAUAUAUAUAUAUUAUGUGCGUGUUUAGUUUUUUAAUUGUAAUUUAUAAUUUAAAUGUAUAACAUGUUUUAUUUAAGUUAUUUUUACUAUUUAAAACUGAAAUAAUUUGUUUGAUUUGUUUGAUCUGUCCCGUUUAAACUAUUUUUAUCAUUCAAGAUUCAAAAACUAAAAAACUAAACUUUCAAAAUUAGUUAAGAAAAUCUAAAAUUAAACACAAUACAAAUAUGGUAUUUUAAAAUCAAAAAUCAAAAACCAAAGAUUAAAUGAUUUUUAAAAUAAAAUUUACUUUUUCUAAAAUAAAAUUUACUAGUUUUGAGAACAAUUAUUUGAUUUAGUUGAUGGAAAUAAUAAAACUAGUUCAAGUAAGACUUUAAUAUUCAUUCUUAGAGCAAGGCUAACAGCGUUUUUUAUUGAGUAUUUAAGUAAUAAAAAUAAUUAAUCGUCAGAAAAAUUAGAAAAGAGAAGAAGAUAAAUUUUUUUUAAAGAGAUGUGUUUAGAACAUUUUACUACUCUUUGUCUCUUUGAUGUGUACCAGUCAUUUUCUCAUUCAUUGAUGUACUCGGUAAAAAACAAAGUUUAAUAAAAAAAAGUUCAUUAAAUACUAAUAUUAAUUUCAGAGAAUUUUUUUAAUAAAAAUCCACGGCUAUGAGGUUGCCCUUAAUUUGAAUCUUUUGUUCUACCAUAUCCGUUAGGUAGAAUUUUUACCUUAAUUUGUCACUUCACUGUGCACUAAGCAUAAUCAUUUCAUUUCCAGACAGUUUAUAUUUUUCAACUCAUGUUUUGUUGUCUUGCUCCUUUUCUAUGUAGUAUUUAUUUAUAAAUUCUGAUUUAAUCAGGUUUCUUAAAAGCAUUGCUUUGUUUUUCAGACAGCUUCUGACUGAAGGUUGGGUUGUUGGCUUAUUGCGCUUUUAGUUACUACUCUCUUUGAAGUUAGACAGUUGCAAUUUUAAAAGACUUUUAAACAAAACUAAAGUAAUCUAGUGUAAUGUAUACACAUGUGUUUCCUUCUCGAGUCUCUAUGUUAAGGAAAUUAUUGACAAUUACGAAAUGUUCUCUUAAAGUUAUAAAUAGAUAUAUCAAUUUGCUGACUAAUCAUGUCAAACUUAUGAUAUGAUUGAUGUUCUUUAGAAAAAAAUCCAAAAUAUGACAUAAAUAUGUAAUACUUCACUGAGAGAUUUGGCGUUGACAUAAACAAUUCAUAUAAACUAGUGAACCGUAAAAUUGAAAACCUUAAGAUACAUGACAUAAGAAUAUGUACUAUAUAAUUCUUUUUAAAAGAAAAGUAUUAGACAAAUGAAAAUAAAAUGUUUUUUUCUUAUCAGAGAAAAGAAAGCAAAUUAUGUUAAUUAACAGAAAAUAAAUAACAAGAAUAUACAAGAUAUUUUUGAAUUGUUUCCAAAUGUCGACUGCAUCAAAAGCUCUAAUGCUCUAUGCAUUCUAAGUUAGGUCCCAUACCCAUGCGAUUAAGUGGUGUCAAUGUGUGUGUAAAAAAGUAUGGUACAUAAGUUUGGUGUGGAUGAAGAUAUAUAACUCAAGAUUAUAGGAAUGAUUGCAAAGAAAGUUUCAUAUAGGUAAAGAGAGCACAGUAUAACGCAUUUUUCGUCAUAUUCUUUGGUUUUGAGGUGUGGGAUCUAUACGUACGAUGGAAGGUCUACUAUAUUAUUCCUUUAGAUACAUUUCUCUCAAUUCCUGUCUAAAUUCAUCAAGCAGCAUACCAUUUCGCACAAUCUGCAUCUCGAUUCUAUGUUAUAUUGAUAAAAACACAUUUUAGUGGCGCUAAGAACAUUCUGGUUUUGAUAUAUAUAUGUGAUGAUGCCAACUCGCAAUCUCUUUUUGUUAGAUUAGAGAGAGCAUAGUUAACACUAGUAGAAACUGAAACCAACUCGCAAUUUUUCUUGGUAUAUCAAUAUAUCAUUUACUGAGAUGUGAGAUCACACCAUUAAUCAGCGGUAGACUAGAUUCGUAGAUAUAAAUGCAUGGCUAUGUGAUUAUUAUGAGUCUAUGAGGGUUCCAUUAUUUGAUUGAUAGAAUAUUAAAAGCUUCUGACUAACGGAUCCAUUAUUUGAUGGAAACGAUCCUCUUCUAAUCUUCUUCGUGGUUCUUCAAAUCAAAUUCGAUGAUGUCAUAUGACGUAAUGGAGAAAUUAUAUUUGUGCUACGUCUUUUGUAAGCUCAAUUGUUAACCUCAUGGCGAGUUAUAUCCACAACCUUUAAUCCCACUUAUAGUUGUAUGUAUUUUUUUUGGAUCAACUUAUAGUUGUAUGUAUAUAUGGCGAAUAUGAUGGAUAUUAUAUUAUGGAUACAAUAUAUGCAUGAGCAGCCUAUCAAACUUGGAGACUUCCUUUCUAUCCAUGCCUGACUUUACACCUCUAUCAUGCCCAUGCAUGGGUCCCUCUCUCCACCUCUCUCUCUCCGAACACAAUAGGAACAGGAGGGAGAGAAAGAUGUGAGAUUGAAGCAAAGCAAGAAGAACACAAUUGUGACUUGUGUCAAAAACAGGGCUUUUCAUUUGACUUUUUUUCAUUAACUUUCAUUUCAUUCCAUAGAGUGGUGUAAAAAGACAUGUGCUUUUCCUUUCCACUAUGUGAUUUCAAUAUCAUUGCUGCGUCGAUUUCCCAUUUAUGGAGCAAACUCAUGUUUUGUUUUCCGUUUACUUUGUAUUGUAUAUAUGGAGUUCAUAAUAAAGCCUUAUUAGCUAUAUAUUAUUAUGAAUGCUUUAUUGUUGUUAAUUAUCUAGUUUAUAAGCUACAUUACAAGUUACUUAUAUAUAAAGUUUUGAUAAGCUAUUAUUGAUGCAUUGUUGUUGUAUAUAAUUUUAUAAACUAUAUAACAAUAAUUCUAACGGAAUAAGUUGAUACGUGCUAAUUUACAGUUAACUAAAAACGUCAUUUAUUAUUAUAGAGAUUUAUUUUAGUAUUAUGUAAACCAAUUUUUGAAGUUACGUACAAAUCCAUGUAAAUCUUGUAGUGAUAUAAUGCAAAAGUAGUGUUCAGCGCAAAUUGAUCUCUGAUUUCGAUCCAACUCUGACCAACCAUUAUAUACUUUGCAUCGUACUUAUUAAGAAUAUAAUGAGAUUAAUUAAGUAUUAACUAUUAACAUCUGAAUCAGAGAAGAUGAAGAUGGAGAAACAAGAUUGAGCUGAGAUGGUGAAUCGAGGAAGAAGAUGAAAAUAGAAGUUUGUUAUUCCUCAUAAUCAUAAAAUGUACAUGUGUAUUCAAUAUAUAUAUGCACGGUUAAGCUAAAGGAACCUUAACCAAUACAAACCAGUUACUAAACCGGAAUAUAUACUAAUACGCCCCUCUCAAGUCUUUAUCAUUGGAGCUUGUGGAAGAUAAAGACUUGACAAUGACAAACGAGAGAGAAAAGAGUUGAAGGGACCCGGAUGCAACGGUUUGGUGAGGAUGUCUACUAACUGAUUGCCAGUAGUGACAUGAAAAGUCUUCAACUUGCCGGCUUUGAGCUGAUCACGAACAGUAUGACAAUCGAUCUCAAUAUGCUUAGUACGUUCGUGAAAGACCGGGUUGUUGGCAAUGUGAAGCGCUGACUUGUUGUCACAAUACAACUUAGCUGGACCCGUGACUGAGACAUGAAGAUCACGAAGCAACUGUUGAAUCCAAAUCAAUUCACAAGUUGCCAAAGCAAGACUGCGAUACUCAGCCUCUGUACUACUUCGACUCACCACAGCUUGCUUCUUUGACUUCCAAGAUAUCAAUGAGGUACCAAGAUAAACGCAAAAGCCAGUAAUGGAGCGACGAGACUCUUUGCAAGUAGUCCAGUCAGCAUCAGCAAAGGCGUUUAAACACAGCUCAGAGGAAGAUGAAUACAUCAAACCUUGUCCCGGGUUGUUCUUGAGAUACCGUAAGACCUUAUGCGCUGCUUGUAGAUGUAUAUCAGUCGGUGCAGAUAAGAACUGACUCAGCUGAUGCACCGCAAAUGUAAUAUCAGGUCUCGUGAUGGUUAGAUACAAGAGACGACCAAUAAGUUCUCUAUAGACCUUAGCAUCAACAAGUGGUUUGCCCAAAUCCUUUGUAAGAUGCAGAGUAGGAUCCAUUGGAAUGGAACUUGGCUUACAGCCUAGAAGACCAGAAUCUUCCAACAAAUUCAACGUAUACUUUCGUUGACAAACCGAGAUACCUUCAGCAGAUCGUGCUAUCUCAAGACCAAGAAAGAAACGAGCUUGUCCAAGAUCUUUUAUCUUGAAUUCAGACCGAAGAAGUACUUGUAAAGAAGCCACUGCAGCGUUAUCAUUGCUAGCUAUCAGUAUGUCAUCCACAUAAACCAAGACAGCAACAAAAGAGGAUGAAGUAUGCUUCACAAAGAGCGUGUUAUCUGCAGGAGACUGAAUGUAGUUAGCACCCAAUAAGACUGAAGAGAAUCGCUUAUACCACUGGCGAGAAGCUUGUUUCAAGCCAUAUAAAGACUUCCUGAGGCGACAAACAGGAUUUGGAGGAAGUUCUACACCAGCAGGAGGAGUAUAACCCUGAGGUAAGCGCAUAUAUAUCUCUUCAUCAAGAUCUCCAUGUAGAAAAGCAUUUGAAACAUCCAUCUGAUUCAAGCUCCAGCCAUUGAUCGCAGCAAGACUCAGAAGAAGCUUGACACUUGUUAACUUCGCUACAGGCGAGAAGGUAUCAAGAUAAUCAAUACCUUCUUGUUGUGUAAAGCCCUGAGCCACCAGACGACCCUUAUUACGUUCCACUGUCCCAUCAGCAUUGUAUUUGAUAGUAAAGAUCCAUCGACAACCCACUACAUUCUUACCAACAGGUAAAGAAACAAUAUCCCAUGUUCUGUUUUGCUCCAUAGCCUCAAGUUCCACAUUCACAGUCUUCUUCCACUUAUCAGAUUUCAUGGCCUGUUGAAACGUUUUAGGUUCUGUUUCCAUCGAAUAAGAAUGAACAUCAGCUUGAAAAACAGGAUUAAAACGAUCAUAAGAGACCACAGAUGAUAAGGGAUAAGGUGUUUUGAAUGAUGGUGGAAAUGAAGGAGAAGUAACAGAUGAAAAAGGAAUAAGGCAACAAAGGUGUGGAGGUAAAGUAAAAGAAGGACGAGAUAGGCGAGCUGAAAGUGGAGUAUUAGAAAGAAGGGAAGCACAAUGAUACUGAGACAGAUAAGUAGGAGCUUUAGUAGUUCGUUUUGGCCUAGAUACAUUCUCAGGUUCUAUACGAACAUCUUCUACUACAUUCCUAUCAGUGCUAGCAUUGUUAUGAGUGUGUGAACGUGUAGCAGUAGGCAUAGAAGUGGAACAAUCACCAUCCGUCAUGAUAGGCAUUGACUCUACAAAGUGUAAAGGUGCAGGCAUUGGUAAAAUUUUAUUAGGAAACAUAUCAACAGAUUUCGAUAAGAGUUCAGACGUUUUAAAAGGAAAAACUUUCUCAUGGAAUACGACAUUUCGAGAAAUCUGAACAACAUGAGACUCCAAAUCUAGAACUUUAUAUCCCUUAUAUCCUGAUGGAUAACCAAGAAACACACAAGGCACUGCACGAGGUGAAAAUUUUGUUCGAUCUAUAGCAUGAGUAGAAGCAAAGCACAAACAACCAAAGUUUCUUAACAAAGAAUAAUCUGGAACUUUCUUGAGUAAUUUUUCAAAAGGAGAUUUGUUAUCUAACAAUGGAGAAGGCAUACGAUUGAUCAAGAACACUGCAGUCAUCACACAAUCAGACCAAUAUUCCAAGGGCACAUUUGAUUGAAAUAGCAAAGAGCGAGCUAUAUUUAACAAGUGUUGGUGUUUUCUCUUAACUACUGAAUUUUGUUGAGGAGUAUAAGCACAGGAGAAGUAAUGAAACAUACCAAGUGUUUUAAUGAGAUCAGUAAAGGCCAAUUCAGGUGCAUUAUCAGUUCUGAUUGCUUUGACUUUCAUGUUGUAUUGAGUUGAAAUAUGUUUAAGAAACAAUGGAAAAAUAACCGAAACCUCUCCUUUAUUCUUUAACAUAUAGAUCUAUGUUACUCUAGUACAAUCAUCAACCAAUGUAAGGAAAUAUCUAUAACCUUCUACUGAUUGAACACUAAAUGGCCCCCAUAUGUCUAAAUGAACCAAAUCAAAAGGAGAUUGAGAAAGCGUAUUAUGAGAAACAUACGCAAGACGUCGUUGUUUUGAUAAUGGACAUAUUGUGCAAGGAGUAUUAUCAGACGCUACAUGUGUAAAUGCUGGUAAACGUGAAGAUAGUUUUUGCAAGAUAGUAGUGGAAGGAUGCCCCAAACGUUGAUGCCACAAGUUGCUAUCAGCUGACACAGAACCACAGAACACAGCACUGCGAGACGAUGCAUGACUAGUAGUAUCAAGAAUGUAAAGAUUGUUGUAUAAGCUACCCUUCCCAAUCAUCAAGCCCCGAGAAAGUUCCUGGAUUAAGCAACCAUUAGGAAAGAAGUGAGCAGCACAAACCAAUGUUUUUAUUAGACUACUCACGCUUAUCAAGUUGAAUCGAAAAUCAGGAACAAGCAACACAUCAUAGAGUAUCAAAGAAGGACUAAUCUUAAUUGUGCCUGUGUGUGUAAGAGGAACUUUAAGACCAUUAGGAAGAGUUACUGUAAAAGAAGACACAUGUGUAAAACUAUCAAACAUAUCUAGAGCAGAACAAACAUGACUAGAAGCUCCACUAUCUAUUAUCCAAGCAUCAUGUGGAAGUAGGGAAGGUAGAGUUGAAAGGCAAUGAUUUUGAUAUAAAAGGUUGUGAUUUUGAAAUGUAAGAUUGAUAGAAGGAAAGGGUACUGUACCGGAUGAUGAAUGAGUACUCAUCAGACCAUGUUCUGUAAUCGUGGCUUGUGGAAUUGAAGAUGAUGAGGAAAGAGCUUGAGGCUCUGAAACUCGAACAUGAGCAUUGAACUGAGAGAUCAAACUCUGUAUCUGUUGAGGAGUGUAGCUCUGUAGAUUGAGAUCCAUGCCACCACUAGUCAAAUGAGGAGUGACUGGCGGUAAAGAAUAGUAGCGUGAAUCUGGAUCAGCACACACAUUCGCAACUGCAUUAGCCAUCUGAGAAGAAGUUGGAACCAAGCUUUGAUU
rnacentral:lncRNA from 1 species